rnacentral:tRNA from 2 species
GCACCUUUAGCUCAGCUGGAUAGAGCGCUGCCCUCCGAAGGCAGAGGCCAGAGGUUCGAAUCCUCUAAGGUGCG